GCUGUGGCAGCAUGACAUAUACUAAUGUUGGAACAACACAGAGAAUAUUAGCAUGGCUACUGCGCAAGGAUGGCUUACUAAUUUGAGAAACGUUCCAUUUUUUU